rnacentral:hammerhead_ribozyme from 1 species
AUCCAACUGGCGAGUGCCUAACAGGACGAAACGCGCGUCAAACUGGAU